CGGAAAGUGAUACACGGGAGACAGACGGUGGGGUGCUAACGUCCAUCGUCAAGAGGGAAACAACCCAGACCGCCAGCUAAGGUCCCAAAAUCCAUGGCUAAGUGGAAAACGAGGUGGGAAGGCAUAGACAGCUAGGAUGUUGGCUUAGAAGCAGCCAUCAUUUAAAGAAAGCGUAAUAGCUCACUGAUCGAGUCGUCCUGCGCGGAAGAUGUAACGGGGCUAAGCCAGUUACCGAAGCUGCGGAUGCACACGCAAGUGUGCGUGGUAGGAGAGCGUUCUGUAAGCCUGUGAAGGUGGCUUGUAAAGGCUGCUGGAGGUAUCAGAAGUGCGAAUGCUGACAUGAGUAGCGUUAAAGGGGUGAAAAGCCUCCUCGCCGUAAGCGCAAGGUUUUCUACGCAACGUUCAUCGGCGUAGAGUGAGUCGGCCCCUAAGGUGAGGCAGAGAUGCGUAGCUGAUGGG
rnacentral:rRNA from 1 species